GACGGGGGGUCCAAGCGUUGUUCGGAAUCAUUGGGCGUAAAGCGUGUGCAGGUGGUCUUGUAAGUUGGAUGUGAAAGCCCCGGGCUCAACUCGGGAAGUGCAUUCAAAACUACAAACUUGAGUAAGGAAGAGGGUCGUGGAAUUCCUGGUGGUAGUGGUGAAAUACGUAGAUAUCAGGAGGAACACCGGUGGCGAAGGCGGCGACCUGGUCCUAUACUGACCACU
rnacentral:rRNA from 1 species